CAGGAUGAACGCUGGCGGUCUGCUUAACACAUGCAAGUCGAACGGGCUCUUCGGAGCUAGUGGCGGACGGGUGAGUAACGCGUGAGGAUCUGCCUUCAGGAGGGGGAUAACGACUGGAAACGGUCGCUAAUACCGCAUAUGCCUACGGGUGAAAGAUUUAUCGCCUGGAGAUGAACUCGCGUCAGAUUAGCUAGUUGGUGGGGUAAGAGCCUACCAAGGCGACGAUCUGUAGCUGGUCUGAGAGGAUGAUCAGCCACACUGGGACUGAGACACGGCCCAGACUCCUACGGGAGGCAGCAGUGGGGAAUUUUCCGCAAUGGGCGCAAGCCUGACGGAGCAAGACCGCGUGCGGGAUGACGGCCUAAUGGUUGUAAACCGCUUUUCUCUGGGAAGAUGAUGACGGUACCAGAGGAAUCAGCCUCGGCUAACUCCGUGCCAGCAGCCGCGGUAAUACGGAGGAGGCAAGCGUUAUCCGGAAUUAUUGGGCGUAAAGCGUCCGUAGGUGGUUAUUCAAGUCUGCUGUCAAAGCGUGGGGCUUAACUCCAUAGAGGCAGUGGAAACUGGAUGACUUGAGUGCGGUAGGGGUCGAGGGAAUUCCCAGUGUAGCGGUGAAAUGCGUAGAUAUUGGGAAGAACACCAGUGGCGAAAGCGCUCGACUGGGCCUGCACUGACACUGAGGGACGAAAGCUAGGGGAGCGAAAGGGAUUAGAUACCCCUGUAGUCCUAGCCGUAAACGAUGGAUACUAGGUGUUGCUCGUCAUCGACCCGAGCAGUGCCGUAGCCAACGCGUUAAGUAUCCCGCCUGGGGAGUACGCUCGCAAGAGUGAAACUCCAAGGAAUUGACGGGGGCCCGCACAAGCGGUGGAGUAUGUGCUUUAAUUCGAUGCAACGCGA
rnacentral:rRNA from 1 species